rnacentral:misc_RNA from 1 species
UUUCCGUAGGUGAACCUGCGGAAGGAUCAUUAAAGUUAUAGUCCCCCGGCCCCUCCGGGCUGGGGUCUUCUAUACCAUCCUUUGUUUAUUACACCUUUGUUGCUUUGGCAGGCCUGCCCUCGGGCUGCUGGCUCCGGCCGGCUCGUGCCUGCCAGAGGACCUAAACUCUGUUUGUAUAUGAAGUCUGAGUACUAUAUAAUAGUUAAAACUUUCAACAACGGAUCUCUUGGUUCUG